UUACUCUUUGAUGUAUUAUAUUAAGUCAUUCAAUUUGGUAAUUUGCUUUUACAAGAUCUUUUUGUGAAUAUAGCACUUCUCAAUUUUAAAUAAAUACUUUCAUCUUGCACAUGAGGCAUUUUUAUUUUCGCAUUUUGCUCUCAACCAAAACUCACCCAAAGAUCCAAUUUUCUCUACCUAGAGGUGGGGUGGAGUUUUGGCUCCUCCCUCUAUCAUCCUGUAUGUUUAGAAACUACGUAGCCCAUUUUUUUCCAUUUUUAUUUUGUUUUCCGUUUAUGGCAAGGAGAAGCGUCAAUCUACUGCUUUCCUUAGCCCUGUGACCACCACACACCUCACCACGGAACUCCCCAAUUGCUGAUCCUUUAGACGGCUAAAGCAGAAUGUCGAAUGGACCGGCGCGUGAGAUCCACUCGUCGUGGCAUUGGGGAGUGUCUAUUGCCACCACGCGCAUCAUAUUUGGGACUAGCGACCUCAAAUUCUUCAGAUUUGACUGACCUCCACUCUCCAAGAGUGGCGUGUGGCCUCCUGGAGGUGCCAUCAUAGUCCCUGAAAGUCGUCCUCAGACGAUUCGACGCAUCUCUUGUUUGCUAUUUGCCUAUGUUUUUACUUUUCCUAACUAAGGAUAGUGUGAGAAGUAGUGGAAGUCUCCUGCAGCCAGUCCAAACCAAUGAAAUGCAGCCCAAAUUUCUUCAUUGCAACUUUCAAUCAUAGUAUUAUAGUCCGUUUAUCAAACUAUAUCAAAACCGCUUCAAGUGGUUUCCUCUUGUGGAAAAUAGGUAGAGGUCAAGUCAUUGACCCCAGAUCCCUUUUUUUAUUAUUAUUAUUAUUAUUAUUUAUUUCUUAUGUUGUAUUUGUUGGUUUGGGUUGAAUGUUGAGGCCUGCCACCUUAUAGAAUAUUGUAUCAUGUAACUGUUACAUAUAUUUAUAAUAGUUUGCUUAGAAAAAAAAAAUAUUUUCAUCUUACGGCAAUAAUAUGCAGUGGCUUCAGCACGAGGGAAUUAGCUUUUUUAGUGAGCAUUUUCAAGAAAUUCUAAAUGCAUUCUCCCUUAGGUGGAGUCUCGGUAGACACCUUAGGUGGCUUUUAAUGAAAUAUUGUUUUAUUAAAACACUUUAGGCAAGAAGGAAUACAAUGAGGGAUUCAAAAUGUGCGAAUUUGAGGUUUAGUGAAAUGAUAAGUAGUGAGGGAAACUGAGAUAUAGGAUAGGGCUCACUUCACCCUAAUUCACACCCCUCUCCAUUUGCCCUAACUCGCACCCCUCUGCCUUGGUCCUUCAUUUAUGCCAACGAUGUUUACGAUGUAGCUGGUGUCAGUGUUGGAUAUUAUAACGGGUUGUGUUGCAAUAUGUAAAGUGCUAGCUAGAAUUUAGAAGAUAAGUUAACCACCUAAAGGGAUUACUCUUACAGAUUAAUAAGUUGGGAUAAAAUAUUCGAUAGAUUUUCAUUCAUUCUAAUAAGUUACAUACAACUUAGGAAUAACAGACUCAAUAAUAGACUUCAACCCAAAUCACUACAAUCAAGGAACAACCUCAACACUAUGGAAGACCAUAUCUACUACUGAUUCCUUACUAACAAAUUGCUUGAAAAUCAGCCCACUAACUUAUUACCCAAAGAUUCGGACUAGCAAAAUAACAAUUUACUUAACCCAAUUGAAUAACUCAUCUACCAAUUACGGUUACAGCCCAUUCAAGUAAGCCUUAAGCCCACAAAAGCCCAUGACAAUCCCUUCACCACCAGAAGACCUUGCCCACAAGGUCAGGAAAAUCCUUAGCUAGCUCUCGAUAUGCGAUCCAUAAAGCAUCUUCAAUCCAUAACCUUUGACAUUUGACCAGAAUCUCAAAUACGAUGAUGUUCCUUUCUACUUCAUGUGCAUCUUCAAGAUCUCUUCUGGUGUAGCUCGUAUCCUACCAUCUUUAGACACUGGAGGAGGAAGCCCCAGUUGGUAGACAACACUACCAAUUUGUUUCCAGAUCUUGUAGGGACCGAAAAAUUUGGGGAGAGGUUUCAGAUUUCUUCGACGAACAACAGAAUGUUGUUUAUUCAACUGGAGUCGAAGAUUCUCUCACAAAAGUUAGAGGAUUUGAUCCCAAGAUCUCAAAGUGCCUUCAAGGGCUUGGACAUCAAUUGUACUAGGAGAAUGCAACAACAAUGGUGGAGGUGGGUACCUAUAAACUGCUUCAAAUGGAGUAAUUUUUGUAAAAGCAUACAAAUUUGUAUUAUACGACCAUUCGGCCAUUGAAAUCCACCUUGACCAUUCUCUAGGUUUAUCUUCUGCAAAAUAUCUUAAGUAACGCUCCACACAUUUAUUCAUAAUUUCAAUUCGGCCAUCCGUUUGAAGAUGAUAUGCCGUACUAAACUUAAGUUCUAUGCCAUGUAAUUUGAACAAUUCUUUCCAAAACAAACUUGUAAAUAUUAGAUCCAUGUAAUUGACAAUAGAGAUAAGCAUACAAUGUAAUUUAAAAAUAUUUGCAAUGAAAUCUGAUCUAUCUUAGUUACUGUGUAAGGAUGCACAACAUGAAUGAAAUGUGCAUACUUACUUAGGCGAUCCACCACGACCAAAAUAAUACUAAACCUAUGGGAAGGGGCUAGCCCUUCUAUAAAAUC